rnacentral:rRNA from 1 species
AGUGAACGCUGGCGGUAGGCCUAACACAUGCAAGUCGAACGGCAGCACAGUAAGUGCUUUCUCUUACUUUUUUCGAGUGUCGUACGUGUUCGUUAUACAUCGUAUUCUACUUUUUCGUUGGGGUUAUCGUAGGUUAACUUACUCUAUUACCUCAUUCGUCCUACCUUUUUUUUCCUUGGUUCUUCUCUCCUUUCGCUUUUUAUUGACCCGAUGUCGGAUUAGCUAGUUGGCUGGGUAAAGGCCCACCAAGUCGACGAUCCGUAGCUUGUCUGAGAGGAUGAUCAGCCACACUGGAACAGAGACGCGGAACAGACAACUACGGGAGGCAGCAGAGGGGAAUAUUGGAAAAUGGGCGCAAGCAUGAUACAGCAAUACCGAGUGGGUGAAGAAGGCGUUCGGGUUGUAAAGACCUUUUGUUGGGAAAGAAAAGAAGCAGGAUAAUAACCAGCUGUAGUGACGGUAACAAAAGAAUAAGCACCGGCUAACUACGUG